AACCAACUUGACAAUAACAAAUCACAUAAAAGAUAAUAUUGAUAUCCAAAAAUUGGCGAACCGUAUCUCGCGCAUGAGAUCGGGUAGACCAAUUUUAAUUUUAAAUCGCGAAUCAAAUCUCGGGCUUGAGAUUGGAUUGUCGAUUUUUAUAAGGGAUUGCGAGUCGGAUUUCGGGCGCGAAAAUCGGACUGUCAAUCCCUAGCUUGAGGGACUAUUUCAUAUUGGAUCUCAAUCACAUAUUUAGGAACAAUUCUACUAAAACAGCAUAUUAAAGAAAUAAUAAUAAAAAUAAUAAAAGAAAAACUACCUAAUCUGAUUUUUUUCCUCUUUUUCUGUUUUCUUUUUCUGCCUUCUUGAGCACAGCUUGCUCGUAGGUCUCCAAGGACAGGUGGUCACUGAUCGGAGGCGGAGCAGCUGCUGGGCAAUCACGGGCGAGUGACAGAGCAGGGCAGGAGCGGCGUCGGCAGGGGAAGCGUCGAGCUGGGUUCGGGCCUUCUGUCGUCGGGGACCUCGGAGCAGCACAGCAACAGCUUCGUCGGACGGAACAGAGGCGUCACGGGUGGAGGCGCUGCAGGGGCAUCGGACGGACGGGCUGGAGCGGAUCACCGCUGAAGGCGGGGCAGCGUUGCUGCGUCUGGGCGGAAGGUUCGGGUCGUCGCGAGGAGGCGAUCGGCGAUUGCUGGUGUCGCGUCGCCGCGGGUGGAGCGACGGGCGGUGAUGGGCAGAUUUGGCUCGAGCCCGGUCUGCAGAGCUUUGGUGGACCGGAGCGGCAGAUCAGGUUCCGAGCAAGUGCGGGGACGGAGGCCGAGGGGGUCCGGCGGUGAUUAAUGCGGCUGAGCGAUGCAGGCACGGCCGGUGGAGGCGCUGCAGGGCGUCGGGGCGGCUCGAGCUUCAGGCACCGGGGCUCGCGGUGAAGGUCAGCGAGAGGUUGCAGACGGAGCGGCGUGCAGCUGACGGACGUCGGGGCUCGGAUGCCGGCACGGGCGAGCGGGGACGGCGCAGCGGCGUGGCGUCGGCGAGGCGAGCGAACCAGUGGCGGUGCGGACGCACGGCUGUGGAAGCCCUGCGGAUGGAAGUUGCAGAGGAGGGGCAGCGGACUUGAGGAAGAUGAUGAAUAGUAGGGGUCAAAUCACCUUUUUGCCCUUUUCACCUUUCUCCCCUCUCUUUCUCUCUCUCUCACGUUCUGACUUUUCCUUUUUCUUUUCUUUUUCUCGCAGAAGCCAAAACCUCUCUUGACCUUUCUCUUCACUUAUUUCUG
rnacentral:lncRNA from 1 species